GCCAGAACCAUAUCACCCUGCAGCUCUCACUUGGUUUCUCACUGAAGCUAAGCAGGGUUGAGCCUGGCCAGUACCUGGAUAUAAGACCUCUAGAGGGAAAACUAAGGUUGCUGCUGGAA
rnacentral:rRNA from 1 species